GAGAGAGAGAGAGAGAGAGAGGACACAAGCAGUGAAACCCGCACACGUUUUUUUCUCAACAACCCAAAUGAAAUGUUAAAGAAAGAAAUGAUAACGUGAAUUAAGAGAUUAUCAAGAAUGAUUGAAAUUUGAGGCUAAUAAAAGGAAGCACCGCAACUAUCGCUGUCUGAGCAGCAGCAUCAGUUCAGUGCAUGUUUAAUGACCACAGGUCGUAUAAUAUCGGGAGGGUAAGGGCCUGUUUGGUCGGCUACUGGAAACUCAAAAAGGUAAUAAUGUAUACAAAUAUAUGAUAUAACGUUGUAAUUUCCAUAAAAAAACCAGGGGUUGAUGGAUUUGAAAUCUAAUAUUGAGUUUUAGGUGAUAUAACAUGCUUGAAGUACAAGUUGAAAAGCAAAGCAAAGCUCUAAAGCACAUGCCAUGUCCU
rnacentral:misc_RNA from 1 species